rnacentral:rRNA from 1 species
GGCAGACGGGUGAGUAACGCGUGGGAACCUGCCCUGUGGUAGGGAAUAACCGUGGGAAACUGCGGCUAAUACCCUAUGUGUCCUGAGGGAGAAAGAUUUAUCGCCAUAGGAGGGGCCCGCGUCGGAUUAGGUAGUUGGUGGGGUAACGGCCUACCAAGCCAUCGAUCCGUAGCUGGUCUGAGAGGAUGAUCAGCCACACUGGGACUGAGAUACGGCCCAGACUCCUACGGGAGGCAGCAGUGGGGAAUAUUGGACAAUGGGGGCAACCCUGAUCCAGCAAUGCCGCGUGGGUGAUGAAGGCCUUCGGGUUGUAAAGCCCUUUCGGCGGGGAAGAUGAUGACGGUACCCGCAGAAGAAGCCCCGGCUAACUUCGUGCCAGCCGCCGCGG